UCAGGUUCCAGAGAUCCUUCCCUUAUUAUUUAAAACUGGAUGAGAUGAUGGUGAAAAAAUGGAACCAAGAAGCACCGUACUGUUCUUCAGUUCCGCAGUUUUGAGGAAAAACUGGAUCCUGGAAGUUUUACUGACAUUCUGAAGUACAUUCAUAUUGAAAAAGAAGUUAAAUUGUGUCCAAAGAGAAUCAUAUUUGCAGAACUGAUGCAUCAUUGCGUUCAGUCAAGCCCUAAGAAGACGAGUUGGAGGAACAUACCUGUUAGUACUGCUCCUAACUGAUUUAUCACAUAUCUGCAUUUCUUUUUGACAUUUUCACAGUUAUGUCAAGCCAUAUGUACUGGUGCUUACGCUAACUUGUAAUUACAUCUUAAGGUUGUACACAGUGAAGUCAGGGACCCCACAAAAAAAACCUACUUAACGUUCCUCUUCUCCCUCCCUUGCCUCUUCCAAGUUUGUUGUUCCCUAUCUGCCUAGGCAGGGAAUGUUCUGAAAAAUUUCAAGACAGCUGUGAUCAUUUCUCAUUGCUGACUUCAUUCAGAUUUGAAAGUUGCAGACUUUGUGGUAGAACAGGAUUGAAGAACAUUUAACCUUUUGUAAUAAGUGAAUGUCAAAAAUGUCUUCAUUGGAUUGUAUUGCACUCUUCAAUACCUUUUAUCAUGUUAAAAAUAGUCAAAAUACCAUUUGGAAUUUCAGCAUUGUUGGGCUUUGAGGAGAUGUAGCAGCACAUCAUGGUUUGUAGGGACAAGGAGAUACAGACCAUUCUGGGCUGCCUCAUUACCUCAAGGAUAGACAAGAAAGGGAGCUUCUGGGUGUCAGCUGUGGAAGCUGCCACAUUCUCAUAUAUCUCUUAGAUCAGUUGAACAGGUAUGUUUAGAUACGUUUUUGUAGUGCUUUUAAUAUGUAUGCUUUCUUUCCAGCCUGCAAAGAUAGAGUAUUGGUUUUAUGUCUUUGGUGAAUUUGCCUAAAACGGCCCAGGGAUUUGCAGUAUUCUAACCUGUUGACCUGAUCACAGGCCAUGUGAUUGUUCAAUAUUUUAUCACCUUCCAAUAUCAGCAAUAGCUUCAUCUUAAUACACUAAGUCAUCUUUAAUGUUGUCUUCAUAGUUGGCUUAUACCAGUUGCACGUUGCUUGAAGUAAUUCUGCUUCCUGUUUUGUUCAACAUUCUUUCCUCUGUUUAAGACCAAUAACAAAUUAUAGGUAGUAUGACAACCAGCAGGGAUUGUAAAAGGGUUCUGGAAGUGACGGAGACCUCUUUACAAUGGAAGCAUGUCAGCAGUGCUCUAGCAGCACGUAAAUACUGGAGUUUAGGAUUGCCUAGCUGCUCUCCAGUAUUGCAUUGCUGCUUCAGUGAGGCUGGAUGGGUCGUGCCCACAGCAGGAACCAGUGCUGUCACUACCAGCCUGUGGUGCCUACGGCAACAAAACAAUGUUAUCGCACUGUUAAAUUCGGGGAGAUGCUGCAUGAUCAGAUUUUUAAGAGGGGUAUUAAGAGGUUUCCUAGUCUGUAGAUCUGACAUAAGAACAUAUUAAUAUAAAAGUGGGAAAAAC